UACAGAGGGGCAAGCGUUGUUCGGAAUUACUGGGCGUAAAGGGCGCGUAGGCGGCCUGCUAAGUCGAACGUGAAAUCCCUGGGCUCAACCCAGGAACUGCGUCCGAUACUGGUUGGCUUGAAUCCGGGAGAGGGAUGCGGAAUUCCAGGUGUAGCGGUGAAAUGCGUAGAUAGUCUGGAGGAACACCGGUGGCGAAGGCGGCAUCCUGGACCGGCAUUGACGCUGAGGCGCGAAAGCCAGGGGAGCAAAGCGGG
rnacentral:rRNA from 1 species